rnacentral:lncRNA from 1 species
UAGGAGUCCUUACUGGAAAAGUCAAGGAAAGAACCUUUGAGUAGCACAUAUUAUGUCACCAUUUGUACAAUCAAGCAGAAAGCUUUUCUUGAAAUGGGGAAAAUAUGGAUUGAAGUCGACUUGAUUUCCGCCACUCUACGACCUUUCUUUGCCUUCCACCAAGAGUUGUUCUUGAACAAGAUGACGAAGUUUAGGGUUGAGCAACUUGAAG